rnacentral:tRNA from 1 species
UCCUUGGUGGCUCAGAUGGUAAAGAAUCUGCCUGCAAUGCAGGGGACCCAGGUUUGAUCCCUGGGUUGGGAA